rnacentral:rRNA from 1 species
CCUACGGGAGGCAGCAGUAGGGAAUCUUCCACAAUGGACGAAAGUCUGAUGGAGCAACGCCGCGUGAGUGAAGAAGGGUUUCGGCUCGUAAAGCUCUGUUGGUAGUGAAGAAAGAUAGAGGUAGUAACUGGCCUUUAUUUGACGGUAAUUACUUAGAAAGUCAAGGCUAACUACGUGCCAGCAGCCGCGGUAAUACGUAGGUGGCAAGCGUUGUCCGGAUUUAUUGGGCGUAAAGGGAGUGCAGGCGGUUCAAUAAGUCUGAUGUGAAAGCCUUCGGCUCAACCGGAGAAUUGCAUCAGAAACUGUUGGACUUGAGUGCAGGAGAGGAGAGUGGAACUCCAUGUGUAGCGGUGGAAUGCGUAGAUAUAUGGAAGAACACCAGUGGCGAAGGCGGCUCUCUGGUCUGCAACUGACGCUGAGGCUCGAAAGCAUGGGUAGCGAACAGGAUUAGAUACCCCGGUAGUC